rnacentral:tRNA from 1 species
GCCGCCGUGGCGGAACUGGUAGACGCUGCGGACUUAAAAUCCGCUGAUCGAAAGAUCGUGGGAGUUCGAGCCUCCCCGGCGGCA